rnacentral:pre_miRNA from 1 species
UUGCUCAGUAGUCAGUGUAGAUCCUGUGGGGCAGACAGCAGCUACAUCUGGCUACUGGGUCUC